CAGCAGCCGCGGUAAUACGUAGGUGGCGAGCGUUGUCCGGAAUUAUUGGGCGUAAAGGGAGCGCAGGCGGACAUAUAAGCCCAUCUCAAAAGUGCGGGGCUCAACCCCGUGAGGGGAUGGAAACUGUAUGCCUUGAGUGCAGGAGAGGAAAGCGGAAUUCCUAGUGUAGCGGUGAAAUGCGUAGAUAUUAGGAAGAACACCAGUGGCGAAGGCGGCUUUCUGGACUGCAACUGACGCUGAGGCUCGAAAGCCAGGGGAGCGAACGGGAUUAGAUACCCCCGUAGUCCCUGUCUCUUAUACA
rnacentral:rRNA from 1 species